rnacentral:lncRNA from 1 species
AAACAACCGAAAAAAACAUUCUAGAUCCGAAUUCCAGGAGGGUAAACUUUCCAUGCCACGUCACACUUCAGCAAAUUUGCACAGAUAUUAUAUUGCCUCCCCCCUCCUUUAUUAUUCUUUUUUUUUUUUUUUUGCCAGGAUCCCAUUGUACUUAACUGAAUUUUAUAACGCUGAUCGAUAUCUUGGUAAAAUAUUCAUUUUUAAACUAGCGGGCAGUGAAAUCUUUGCUUUGUGUGCUAAAGUCAACAGUCGCUUGGUUUGAGCUCAAAUAAAUGCGGGGAUGCCUCGGCUCGGAGCAGUCGGCCUCCUCCCUCCGCGAGCUGGACGCUCCGCAGCCCGCCCGCCAGCCGGCCCGCCGGCCGCCGCAGGAAUCCCUGGAUAAAGACCAGCUCAACCAUCGCUGAGAAAACAGACCUAGGCUUCCCAGGGCGGUUAACCCGCCGGCCUCUGGGCAGAGACUGUAAGUUGGGGUCGUGUUUGGGAGACUCGGGACCCUAUUUCCAAGGAGAACUGUGGGGGACAUGUUUAUGUUUGUUGUUUUCAAAAUCAAGCAAAGGAAACAACAGCCAAUUAAAAUGAAAUAUUUUUAUUCCCCUCGCACGUCGUCAGUGAUUUGCCCCCAGGGAUUCACAAUUUUCCCAAGCCUGUUAACGGGUGACAAUGAGUGAGUGCCUCCUGUAAUUUAAUUUUCCUGUCACACUAAAUAGAGCUACAUUGUAAACCUUAGAUCUACUCUUACUGAUAGGAUCGCCUUGUUUUGCCAUUUGCACCAUAAAGACCCCCAAAAGGGACACUGUAUUGUGACCUCUACUCUUGAAUUAUUCAAGAACUUAAUGACAUUUUCCAUUUUAAAAAGGGAACUAAUUGCCAUUGAUGCAAAGCAUGUGACCUUCUGCAGGUACCCAGUAUGAGAAUGUAACCAUCUGUAUGUGCAUAGAAGGCUGAAGAAAGCGGGUGCAAACAGGAAAAACACAUGCAAUCCUAACGAGCUCAAAAUGGACACUGGAAUCAAGCGUAGGGUUUAAUUUCACCCCAAACCGUGACACAUAGCUCCACAAAAUUCCCUUCACCAGACCUAAAGUCUGCAUAAAACCUCGCAUCAAUUCAGGCUCGUUUUGGGGGACAUGACAUGACUUUUUAGCUAGGACUGGAACAUUAAAAAUUUUGAAAGCCAGUAUGCCUUUAUAAAUGUAAAAUCACUUUGAUGUCAAGCAAAAUAUCUAAUAAUUUGCCUCCCUUCUUUUGUGGCUCUUUAAAAUUAUUUAUUUCCUCAAAAAGGAAAAGAAAACCCCAUAAAUUGGGAUGGAACCGCAUCUCAGUAUUUGCUGUUUGAAUCAGUCUUGAGUUUCUAGGAAAGCCGUUAUUGAAAUUCUUCACUAACUAGAAUUAUCUCGCUUCAAAUUACUUGGAAAUGGAUGCUUAUCUUUUUUUUUUUUUUCAAAGAAAAGACAAAACAAAAUAAAACAACAACAAAAAACUCCCAGUGUGUUUCCUACUCUUCUUUGUCUUGGAGGAAAGCAAAGGGAGAGAAAUGGACUUCACCAGUGGUCUUUGGCUUCAUCAAUUCACAGGAAAUGGCAUCAAGAUGGUUCAACUAAGACAUGAUCACUAAAAACAUUAUAAUAAUACCUUUUUGAAAAACUCAGUUUCUCCUGUUUACUAAAUAUUUAUUUCAUCAACAUGGGCUGCGUUCCACUGUGUCAGGAUUCUGCAUGUGGGUGGAGCACUGUUCCAGCCUGAGAAGAUGGUUCUGAGGCCACUUAGCAAGACAUUUUCCAGCAUGAGCAGGUUUCUCUGUGGAAAUAGUGACACCUGUUCUGGUGUGUUGUCUUUCCUCAGGGAACUUAAGGGGUACAAAGCUCCUGAAAAUGUUCUUUAUGCUGGUUGAAGCUCUUAUGUCGCUGUACUGAUUCCCUACGAUGCAGAUUUGAAUCACAGAGUAAUUAAAAUAUGGAUCAAAUAAGGCUGGGGCUCACCAAGGCUGAAAGCUGUAGCCAUUCAAGGCAUCAUUUCUGUCAUGAAAAUAUAGGACCUUUUCAAAACAUGCCUUCAGGAAGGUGUUCUCUUUUCAAACAAAAGUCUAAUGACUGCAUAACUCUUCUUGACCACAUCUUACACUUUCUCUAGACUUGCUUAUUUACAGCUACUGGAACAAAAAGAUGAAAUGAAUAAAGCACACUGAUUGUCCUAAGAGUCUUCUGUGACUAAAAGCACAUGAGCUUCUCCCCAGGCUGAGCUUUGACCCUCCCAAGCAUUUCCCCAAAGGCCAUGACACUGCAUCAGAUUGCUCCUGGACACUUUCCUCAGAGUUUUCAACAAAUAUAAACUGAGGAGUGGAGCACAGCACCAGAUUUGCUAAUCAAGAGGCAAUGGUCCCAGUCCAAAUGGGUGCUGUGUGUGAAUACAGAGCCCAGGAGAAGGGAAGGAGGUCUGUGAACAUCAGGAAUUGCAAAAUCUUGCUGAACCAAUAGACCAACAGCCAUUAACAUUUGUCAAUGCAAAGAUCCUAAAAUAUACAAGUGUGGAGUUGUCCUGCCCUAAGAGCUGAAGCUGUGACAAUCACGCUGCCAUGAAAAAAACGCUUUCGUAUAUUUUUCCUGCUGGGUGGUCAGAAGGAAAGGCCGUGAAGCUAAAGGUCUCCCACUGAGACGCUGUUCUGCAAGGAGCCGACCUCACGUGCCGCCGCCGCCAGAGAAGAGAGCACCUGUUCAUCUCGGCUCACUGUGAGGCUGAGCUCAGCGCUGGCAGGCGAGGGGCCGCAAGCAUCCCCCACAGCCACCGAGAGGGCAUCCCUGCAGGGAAAUCAUAUCCGACAUGCCUGUGCCCACAGCAGACUUAAGACUGCCUCUAAAAUGUCCAUGAAGCCAUUGUCCAGUAGAGCUGUUAGUUUUAACACCAGUGAGUAUUACCUUUGGUUAAAAGGAUGCAUGUGUAUAGGUGUAUGUGUGUGCGUGUGUGUUUGUGUUUUUGGACUUGUGUGGAGAAUGAAGAAAGGGUUCCAUUUAGGCAUUUGCAAAUAUUCGAUGGCAUCAUGAAAAGACAAAAAAAUCCUAUAAAAUAUAUCAUAUUUUGCUAUGAUUUUGUGUGUACAUGUAAUAAAAUUAUUAAGUAUAAAUUGUUCUGUAUUUCUUUGCAAGCAUAAAUUCUAAAAUUUUGUAUUUAGUACAGAAUAAUUCGUAUCACAUAAUAAGGGAAAAAUACAUUUUUUUUUCCUGAUUAAGUGCUUAGACUAAAUGUAUCUGGUUUUUUGGGGAACUGAGGCCAAGAUGGAAAUUGUAGUCUGCCUGGGUGAACGUAAUUCCUUUCUCUAAUUCUUGACAUAGAGAAAAACUUGCCCAGGGAAAUUUUUCCAUUAUGGCAUUUUAGCAUUAAUCUGAAAAUCAUGGGGAAUCACUGUGGAUAACUCAGGGGAAUAAGUGGAACUCUUCUUCCAUUAAAAGAAUUUCCUGACUUUGAGGCUAUGCAUUUCCACAACAUGGGAAAUGGGUUUUUAUUUCCAAUUUCUGCAAAGAGUACACAUGCAACUGGUAUCCAUACAAAGCCCCACGUGUUGGGAGGCCACUGAGGGAGGAGCAGAGCUCCAGCGAGGGCAAAUGCACAAAUAACAAAUCAAGUUUAAAGACCGUGGUCAAAUGCAAGGAGUAAAUGAUACUGAUCUUAUAUGUUAGGGGCUUGGACAUCACAUCAGCUGCCAUGGAGUUUGAUUAAUGAGGCAUUAAGGAGAUGGAGUGACACUUACAGCUAGUUACUUAUGGUGCUAAUUUCAAAACACUUUGCAAUAGACAAAGAGACUCGGCUCAUAAUGCAAAGUAAUUUGUGGUGUGUUCCUGGUGAAUGCAUUUAGCGAAGCAAAUAUAGUUAUGCGGAAUUUAAAUUAAGGUUGACACUAAUGUAAACAGAGCCCAAGAACCACUGUCCAAUAAUUUGAUGAGGACACAGGUUUUAAUCAAGCCUCUUCCACUAAAAUAGCAAUUUAAAUCCCUAACGUUUAAACUGGAUAAAACGCUUAAGCUGUAAAGGUUGGGGGGAAAAAUAGAAAUUUACUUGAAAAGGAAAAUGAAACAGAGUAUCUCUGGGGGAAACCUUGACUAUGUUUUGACCCAACUGGGAUAUACAUGUCGAUUUAAAUGCCAGGUCGAUUUCAAGGCCAGAUUCCAGGUAUUUGAAGGCAUUUGCUAUGUAUCUUUUCUGUUGUUGUAAAGUUAUGGUUGGACACAUUCUGGUUGUAUUGAUCUCAGAGUAAAAAU